rnacentral:rRNA from 1 species
AACUGGGCGUUAAGUUGCAGGGUAUAGACCCGAAACCCGGUGAUCUAGCCAUGGGCAGGUUGAAGGUUGGGUAACACUAACUGGAGGACCGAACCGACUAAUGUUGAAAAAUUAGCGGAUGACUUGUGGCUGGGGGGGAAAGGCCAAUCAAACCGGGAGAUAGCUGGUUCUCCCCGAAAGCUAUUUAGGUAGCGCCUCGUGAAUUCAUCUCCGGGGGUAGAGCACUGUUUCGGCAAGGGGGUCAUCCCGACUUACCAACCCGAUGCAAACUGCGAAUACCGGAGAAUGUUAUCACGGGAGACACACGGCGGGUGCUAACGUCCGUCGUGAAGAGGGAAACAACCCAGACCGCCAGCUAAGGUCCCAAAGUCAUGGUUAAGUGGGAAACGAUGUGGGAAGGCCCAGACAGCCAGGAUGUUGGCUUAGAAGCAGCCAUCAUUUAAAGAAAGCGUAAUAGCUCACUGGUCGAGUC